rfam:Hordeum vulgare subsp. vulgare, WGS project CAJW01000000 data, contig: morex_contig_143583
AUGCUACUCCCUCCGUCUGAAAAUAUUUAUUCUAGAAAUGAAUAAAAUAGAUGUAUUUAUAACUAAAAUAAAUCUAGAUACACCCAUUCUUAGAAUAAGUAUUUCCUGACGAAGGGAGUAUGUU